GUUCUACACACCUGAAAGCAUCGUUCACCUGUGCACAGGAAUAAGGGAAAUCUGACAAAAUGUGCUGCAAAGGCUUUAUCAAAACGAUGAUGUUCAUCUUCAAUGGUGUCAUCUUUUUGGCAGGUGUUGUGUUACUGGCGGUAGGAAUCUGGGUGAGUGUCGACCGCAUGUCCCUUCUGGGAUUUUUAGACAAUAUUGAUAACGCACCCCCUGAGCUGGCACAGCUGGCCAACAUUGGCUAUGUGUUGAUCGCGGUGGGUGUGUUCCUGGCUCUUGUGGGUUUCCUAGGAUGUUGCGGGGCGAUUCAGGAGAGCAGGUGUAUGCUCCUCAGUUUCUUCAUCAUCGUGCUCAUCAUCUUCAUCGUGGAGGUGGCAGCAGCUAUAUUUCUCUUUGUCUUUCAGCCUGUGGCUGAGAAAUUACUGGAGGACAUUGGACAGCAAGUGUCUAAAAGCAUCAGUGAUAAAUAUGGAGCAGACGAGCGUUUCACUGGAGUCUGGAAUAACACUAUGGAUGAGCUGCGUCGCUGUGGAUAUAACAACUACACUGACUUCAUGGGCUCUCCAUUUUUCGAAGAAUUAUCACUAUAUCCAGAGAUGUGCUGCAGAGUGAAUAUUACACGCUGUGAUCAAUCUGCAGCAAAUGUAUCUAUCGGGUACAGUGGGCUGUUUUAAGGCAUUAGUGACUCUGGUUGAGGAAAAUGCAAUUCUGCUGGCAGGUGUGGCCAUUGGAAUCGCCGUUUUAGAGAUUGCAGCUAUGGUCGUUUCGAUGGUCCUCUACAAGACUGUAGGAAAAUGAUUAAUCCUCUGGGGUCUGAGGGUGUUUUGGGCCCUGGAGAAGUUUUGACAUGCCUUGACAUUUGUGCUUUUUUCAGUUGAUUAAAAACACAUUAAUGGCUAAAGUCUGAUAACACUGUAUUCAGCACAAACUGGACUACAAUAAUAUGUGAGCAACAUGUGUGUACAUGUUUGUAUUUUUGAC